rnacentral:lncRNA from 1 species
UAUUUAGUUAGAUUGCAAAGUUAUGAAACCUUUGAAUUAUCUUAUGUGCCAUCCUUUUAUUUCUAAUGAGGUGUUUUCCUUGGAAUAUAUUUCAGUAAUUUUCCUUGUAUCCUUACACAUUUAUUAGGUGUAAAUUUUAAUGACCUCAUUCUGAUUUGGCAGGUUGCUUCCCAGUGAUUGCUAUUAACUUCACAGUUACCAACAAAAAGGGUUUGUAGUGCUGGCACAGCAGUGAGAUAAGGAUGGUCUCAUUUGUUGUUAGCAUCUGUAACCAAAGAAAUUGCAAAAUUACCCCCAAAACAAGACUCAAAAGUAGUGGAAACUCCAAGUUUUCUAUAUAAUUGGUUAAUUACACUGAGAUGUAAAAGAGCUUCUCAACCACUGCUGUUCUCCAGCAGGUCCACCUCUGCAAAGGGACAACACAUUGGCAUGCUGUCAUGAUACGGACAACACUUCCUCCAGCGUGGGUCACUUGGGGAAAUCAUGUUCAGGCAUGAACCUGAGGUACCCCCAGGAACAAGAGCUCUAGGAGCAGUCUGAGGCCACGUUACUUGACCCAGGGGAGAAAGCUCCCUGUGCACCAAGCGGGGAGAGAAGAGCAUGUGGAAACAGUCUGUGAAGCCUGGAGAACAGGCUUUGUAAAGAAGAGGAGAAAAAUGAAUGCUUUUAUGCAACAGUGCGUUUCUGGUGACCCACUUUCUGCAAAAAGAAAUCUGUCAAGGCUAUAAAAAUUGUAAUUGGAUUUCCCUUCAGAAACCAGGCAAUGUGCACACCCUAGGAGAAAUCUGGGACCGGUGUGCUCUGCAGAGGAUGCUGCCAACAUCUAGAGGAUGCUGUGGGUGCAGGCAGGUGUGGUAUCGAGGGGCAGAGAGAGCCUCGAGCAGCCUGGCAGCUGGAGUGAAGGCACAGGGUAUCCAGUUUAUCCUGGGAAUGACAGCAAAACUUAAAAAAAAACCCACACAAAUGAAACAAUAAACUUCCUUUUUCUCUUAUAACUAUUCUGAAAACCCAUUUGUUACA